UGAUUAUAUGUAAUGUAAAAUAACCAAUAUACAGAUGAUCUUUAAUUAAAUGGUAGUACCUUCCAUUGGUUUGAAUCUUGAUUUGUGGCUUGGCUCCUCUCUUCUGCUCUGUGUUCUUGUCCACUUCCAUCAUCUUCCUCUGUGUUCUUGUCCACUUCCAUCAUCUUCCUCUCUGAGCAAGGUCAGGUCAGUCGCGUGAAAGCAGGUUUGCAUGUUAGGAGGAUACAAUGUUCAAAUUCGCCGUCUACUACUUAAAGUGGAAAGUACGUUGCUCAUUUUUGGUAGCGACCAGUUCACCCAAGUGGCAUCCCAGCCGGACCUUGAUGACGACGCGAACUGGAAUGAAAUAAAAUGGCCCACGAGAAAGGAACCAAACAGGACGGUGCCUGCUAAGGUGCUAUUAUUUGGAGGUUCCUACAAAGAACUUGUGUUGAAGAAUAAUUUAUUCCUUCUGGGUAAUGAUAUCUGGGCCGAGGAGGAAAGCAGAAGUGUGCGCAUGAAAAAGAAAAUGUGUGAGACCGACGUGGAGAAGCCUAAAACGGCCAUACAGGCAAAGCAAACCAGGAUUAAAGAGGCAGCCAGGGACCAGGUGUUACAAAACCUGAAGACUUCCCUGUCUCAGAAGAGGGCCCUGGACACACAAGAUCACCUCCACAAUUCUAAGAAUGAAUCUCCACAAUGUGUUCAUGGGGGAAAGCGAGCAAAGAUUAACAAGGCAGCAAGACGUGUGCUUUUACCUCUGGCAUCCAGUCCAAGUUCUGAUGACGCCACAUACAUAGGAAGUCCA
ensembl:lncRNA